UCCACCACCACCAGGAGUUAAAAUUUGAAGAAUCUCCCCAGCUUUCACUGUUACAGUAUUCUUGCCUCCAAGAUAAACUCUUCUUCCAUCCUUUCUCACCAGAAAAUUAGCCCCACGAGCACCGUUUUUUCCUCCUUUCAAACCUCUCGGCGCAUGGACGCGUCUCUCCGAAAGAAUACUCACCACCACUGGCUGCUUGAACUCGAUCUCCCUAACGAGCCCAUCACCUCCUUUGUAGAUUCCACUUCCUCCACUGUUCUCUCUGAGUGCAAAUGUAUGUAGAAGAACAGGGUAUCGCUGCUCGAAUAUCUCGGG
rnacentral:misc_RNA from 1 species